CGCUGCUGCCGGCCGCUACCGCCACCACCACCACCACUGGUUGCUGUCUCUAUGGCAAGGAGGAGGAGGAGGAGCGCGAGCUCAGCGACACAAGUACAAAAAUAAAGGAUAAAGUAUUUUAUGAAACAAAUCUUCAAUCAAGUAUAACAUUUUGAUGCUUGACAUCUAGACUUCUUGUAUCCUCACUAUGCCAGCAGCAACUGUAGAUCAUAGCCAAAGAAUUUGUGAAGUUUGGGCUUGCAACCUGGAUGAAGAGAUGAAAAUUCGUCAAGUUAUCAGAAGAUAUAAUUACGUUGCUAUGGACACCGAGUUUCCAGGUGUGGUUGCAAGACCUAUUGGAGAAUUCAGGAGAAAUGCUGACUAUCAGUACCAACUAUUGCGAUGUAAUUAGACUUGUUAAAGAUAAUUCAGCUAGGACUGACAUUUAUGAAUGAGCAAGGAGAAUAUCCUCCAGGAACUUCAACUUGGCAGUUUAAUUUUAAAUUUAAUUUGACGGAGGACAUGUAUGCCCAGGACUCUAUAGAGCUACUAACAACAUCUGGCAUCCAGUUUAAAAAACAUGAGGAGGAAGGAAUUGAGAUCCAGUACUUUGCAGAACUUCUUAUGACAUCGGGAGUGGUCCUCUACGAAGGGGUCAAAUGGUUAUCAUUUCAUAGUGGUUAUGACUUUGGCUAUUUAAUCAAAAUCCUGACCAACUCUAACUUGCCUGAAGAAGAACUUGACUUCUUUGAGAUCCUUCGAUUAUUUUUUCCUGUCAUUUAUGAUGUGAAGUACCUCAUGAAGAGCUGCAAAAAUCUCAAAGCUGGUUUACAGGAAGUUGCUGAACAGUUAGAGCUGGAACGGAUAGGACCACAGCAUCAAGCAGGAUCUGAUUCAUUGCUCACAGGUAUGGCCUUUUUCAAAAUGAGAGAAGUAUGA